GAGCGAACAGGAUUAGAUACCCUGGUAGUCCACGCCGUAAACGGUGGAUGCUGGAUGUGGGGCCCGUUCCACGGGUUCCGUGUCGGAGCUAACGCGUUAAGCAUCCCGCCUGGGGAGUACGGCCGCAAGGCUAAAACUCAAAGAAAUUGACGGGGGCCCGCACAAGCGGCGGAGCAUGCGGAUUAAUUCGAUGCAACGCGAAGAACCUUACCUGGGCUUGACAUGUUCCCGACGGUCGUAGAGAUACGGCUUCCCUUCGGGGCGGGUUCACAGGUGGUGCAUGGUCGUCGUCAGCUCGUGUCGUGAGAUGUUGGGUUAAGUCCCGCAACGAGCGCAACCCUCGCCCCGUGUUGCCAGCGGAUUAUGCCGGGAACUCACGGGGGACCGCCGGGGUUAACUCGGAGGAAGGUGGGGAUGACGUCAGAUCAUCAUGCCCCUUACGUCCAGGGCUUCACGCAUGCUACAAUGGCCGGUACAACGGGAUGCGACGCGGCGACGCGGAGCGGAUCCCUGAAAACCGGUCUCAGUUCGGAUCGCAGUCUGCAACUCGACUGCGUGAAGGCGGAGUCGCUAGUAAUCGCGAAUCAGCAACGUCGCGGUGAAUGCGUUCCCGGGCCUUGUACACACCGCCCGUCAA
rnacentral:rRNA from 1 species